rnacentral:rRNA from 1 species
UUAGAUCACCGAAGUCAAGCAUCAUUGGGCGCGUCAGUACUUGGGUGGGUGACCACCUGGGACACCGCGUGCCGUU